CCGAAGUUGCCCAUCCCUGCUGUAAAUUUAUCAAAUGUAUAAAAAUGUAAAAAAAAAACAAGGUUCUAGUGAGGCAUCUACAAUUGAAGCAAAUGGACAGUUUCUGGAGGAUUUAUAAACGAAGACACUCGUACAAGUUCGGAACAACAUGAGGAAUGAUGGGAGUACAAAACGUGUCAAAAUUGAGUUCUGACCGAAGAAUAGCAGCUGUCUCCAGCAUCUCAGCC